ACACGCAUAUAUGCACAUGCACACUCUAGACUUGGACUUGGAGAACUAUUGUGGCCAAGAACAGGUUCCCCUUUUUUCAUUUUUUAAAUAAAAUAAGACUGGAAUAAAGCCUCACUCGUCUGUGGGUGCUUUCAUUCCCUGGCCUCACAACUGAGAAGUUGGAAUAGGAGCAGAAGGAGAAGGCCCAUCCUGAAGAAGUCCGAGUGAACAGAGGACGGCAACCCGACGCUCAAGACACCCCGCAGCCCUCACAAGCCUCAAAUCCACUGGUGGGUUUUAGUAAAGCAGUCGUUUCUCCAGCGGAUGAGUCAGCAGUGGCGAACAAUCCCACUGCAUCGCUCUGCGUGAUGGGGAGUGCCGUGGCUGAGCGCCAUCUUGCAAAUGAACCUGGCAUUUAGAACUGAGCUACACUGAGGCCCGAAUGCAGGAAACAGCCGGAAGUCAGGGAGCUUAGAUCUAACUUGUCACAGGGUGAGAGACAGUCCUGGGAGCAAGAGGGCCCGAAGCUGACGAGCCAAAGGGGAAUCGUUGGUGUUGUCUCCUAGAAUGGGCUCAGAUCGUAUUAUUUGUACUGCAGAUGAAUGUCCUUAAAGAGAUUGCUACUGAAAAGGGUGUGGAAGAUGGCUUACUCCAAGAAUAACAGCUUACUUUUUAAAUUACGUUUAUGUAUUUCUUCGGGGGAGAGCUGCAGCGUUCGUACCACGGCGUGAGUGUGGACUUCAGAGGACGGCUUUCGGGAGUUGGUUCUUCCUUCCAUUGUGCGUGUUCAGUAGAUCAAAAUCAGGUGACCGUCUUGGCAGCAACCACCUCUAGCCACUGAAGCAUCUUACCAGCCUGUAAUUGGCUUUUUAAUAGAAACGUAUAGAUAUAAUUGUAUCUGCUGAUAGGGCAAUAUAAAAAAGAUACUCAGAGUAGAUCUAAAUGUUCAAAUGUUUAUUUCUGAAAUUAAUUGAUUGUAAUUGAAAAUACAGUUAUUGGAUGAAACUUUGAAAAUGUCAAAGGAAUAAAGGUGUUCCAUGUAAU